AAAUCUUGACAUCCUCUGACCCCUCUAGAGAUAGAGUUUUCCCCUUCGGGGGACAGAGUGACAGGUGGUGGCAUGGUUGUCGUCAGCUCGUGUCGUGAGAUGUUGGGUUAAGUCCCGCAACGAGCGCAACCCUUAAGCUUAGUUGCCAUCAUUAAGUUGGGCACUCUAAGUUGACUGCCGGUGACAAACCGGAGGAAGGUGGGGAUGACGUCAAAUCAUCAUGCCCCUUAUGAUUUGGGCUACA
rnacentral:rRNA from 1 species